UGUGAUUUGCCAAUGGGCGCAAGCCUGAUGCAGCGACGCCGCGUGAGGGAUGACGGCCUUCGGGUUGUAAACCUCUUUCAGUAGGGACGCAGGCCUCAGUUUUUGUUGGGGUUGACUUUACUUACAGAAGAAGCGCCGGCUAACUACGUGCCAGCAGCCGCGGUAAUACGUAGGGCGCAAGCGUUGUCCGGAAUUAUUGGGCGUAAAGAGCUCGUAGGCGGUUUGUCGCGUCUGUCGUGAAAACCCACAGCUUAACUGUGGGCUUGCGGUGGGUACGGGCAGGCUUGAGUGCGGUAGGGGAGACUGGAAUUCCUGGUGUAGCGGUGGAAUGCACAGAUAUCAGGAGGAACACCCGGUGGCGAAGGCGGGUCUCUGGGCCGUUACUGACCUGAGAGA
rnacentral:rRNA from 2 species